GGACUGCUUGGAACAAAUGUGAGCUAUUUGAAAACAAAGAAGACUAUUAUGGAAAUAGAAGAGGAGUCUGAAGGGAUUCAGUUUCUUAAGGGCAGUGGAACUUCUGUCUUAAGGAUUGACAGCUUAGAACCCACUGAUAUAGUAGUUUCUGAGCUCAAUCACGGUGUUCUUGGAUUAGGAUUGGAUGCAGUAGAAGAACAAGAGGAAAAGGAGCAAUUUUUUGAGAAAGGCUUAAUAUCUUCCACGGAUUAUUCAAGAUUAAAUAAGGAAUACGUGCCAGCCUGAGGCCCUUUAUGAUGGGGAACUGCAACAAGACCCCAAGGACCCAAAACCUCCAGUUUGCAUGACGAGAGCCCAUCCUCCCAACCUGUGAUACUGAGCAGAAGAGAACGUCUGUGCUCAUCUGAGUGGACCUGCUAGGCAUUCUAGAACAUGGGCAGGAACCAAGAGGUGCAAACCUCCCCGUAAAGAAAGGAAACUGUUUCUCAGAGAAAGGAGAUGGUUUUCAGGCUGAGAGGCUUGCAGAGGGGAUUGGAUAAAGGCAGAAAGCAAAUCAAAGGUGACAAAGCCAGGAGUGGGGAAGGACAGAUUCAGGGAGGGAAGCAUCUAUAUUAGCUAUACCAGGACUGACCAAGAAAUGAAAUGUAAAUUUUUAAAUUGUCUUUGAGAAAUAUGCUAUUAAAUUGUUCAGAAAUUUUUUGAAGAUAAUUAUUAACAUUAAAUUUCAUAUAAGCCAGGCACAAUAUCAUCUUAAAUCUUCUG